AAUGUUGGGUUAAGUCCCGCAACGAGCGCAACCCUUAUCCUUUGUUGCCAGCGAUUCGGUCGGGAACUCAAAGGAGACUGCCAGUGAUAAACUGGAGGAAGGUGGGGAUGACGUCAAGUCAUCAUGGCCCUUACGAGUAGGGCUACACACGUGCUACAAUGGCGUAUACAAAGAGAAGCGACCUCGCGAGAGCAAGCGGACCUCAAAAAGUACGUCGUAGUCCGGAUUGGAGUCUGCAACUCGACUCCAUGAAGUCGGAAUCGCUAGUAAUCGUAGAUCAGAAUGCUACGGUGAAUACGUUCCCGGGCCUUGUACACACCGCCCGUCACACCAUGGGAGUGGGUUGCAAAAGAAGUAGGUAGCUUAACCUUCGGGAGGGCGCUUACCACUUUGUGAUUCAUGACUGGGGUGAAGUCGUAACAAGGUAACCAAGGGCGAAUUCUG
rnacentral:rRNA from 1 species